UACGAAGGGGGCUAGCGUUGCUCGGAAUCACUGGGCGUAAAGGGUGCGUAGGCGGCGCGGUAAGUCGGGUGUGAAAUCUCGGAGCUUAACUCCGAAACUGCAUUCGAUACUGCCGUGCUUGAGGACUGGAGAGGAGACUGGAAUUUACGGUGUAGCGGUGAAAUGCGUAGAUAUCGUAAGGAAGACCAGUGGCGAAGGCGGGCCUCUGGACAGUUCCUGACGCUGAGGCACGAAGGUCAGGGGAGCAAACAGG
rnacentral:rRNA from 1 species